AUUGAACGCUGGCGGAAUGCUUUACACAUGCAAGUCGAACGGUAGAGGGGGCAACCCCUCGAGAGUGGCGAACGGGUGAGUAAUAUAUCGGAACGUGCCCAGUCGUGGGGGAUAACGUAGCGAAAGUUACGCUAAUACCGCAUACGAUCUAAGGAUGAAAGCGGGGGAUCGCAAGACCUCGCGCGAUUGGAGCGGCCGAUAUCAGAUUAGGUAGUUGGCGGGGUAAAGGCUCACCAAGCCAACGGUCUGUAGCUGGUCUGAGAGGUCGACCAGCCACACUGGAACUGAGACACGGUCCAGACUCCUACGGGGGGCAGCAGUGGGGAAUUUUGGACAAUGGACGCAAGUCUGAUCCAGCCAUUCCGCGUGCAGGAUGAAGGCCCUCGGGUUGUAAACUGCUUUUGUACGGAACGAAAAGGUCUCUCUUAAUACGGGGGGCUCAUGACGGUACCGUAAGAAUAAGCACCGGCUAACUACGUGCCAGCCGCCGCCGUAA
rnacentral:rRNA from 1 species